UACUACGAUCUCUGCGAUCCAUUUCUUCUUCGUUGUUGUCGUCGUGGCUGUUCAUCAUUGGAGGGUGUUGCUGUUACAACAAAUCUAUACAAUUCUCUGAUCAGCACAUUUCAAUUCUAGCCGCGGAGUUCGUUCUCUUUCGUUAAAAUGCCUCUCAGACUUGAAAUUAAGAGAAAGCUUGCUCAAAGAUCUGAAAGAGUUAAAUCAGUUGACUUGCAUCCGACUGAACCAUGGUUACUGGCAAGUUUGUAUUCUGGAUCUGUUUGUAUAUGGAACUAUCAGUCUCAGACCAUGGUAAAGUCGUUCGAGGUCACCGAACUACCUGUCAGAUCUGCCAAAUUUAUUGCACGACAGCAAUGGAUUAUUGCUGGAGCUGAUGAUAUGUUUAUCCGUGUAUACAACUAUAAUACAAUGGACAAGGUCAAAGUGUUUGAGGCACAUGCAGAUUACAUCAGAUGUGUUGCCGUCCAUCCUUCCCUUCCUUAUGUACUUUCAUCAUCUGAUGACAUGCUUAUUAAGCUUUGGGAUUGGAAGAAAGGCUGGAUGUGUACUCAAGUUUUUGAGGGUCAUUCCCAUUACGUGAUGCAAGUAAACUUUAAUCCAAAAGACACCAAUACUUUUGCUAGUGCAUCUCUUGAUCGCACAAUAAAGAUAUGGAAUCUUGGCUCACCUGACCCAAAUUUCACAUUAGAUGCACAUUUGAAAGGUGUUAAUUGUGUUGACUACUUCACCGGUGGUGAUAAACCUUAUUUAAUUACUGGUUCUGAUGAUCACACUGCUAAGGUUUGGGACUAUCAAACUAAAACUUGUGUCCAGACACUAGAAGGCCAUUCACAUAAUGUUUCAGCUGUUUGUUUCCAUCCUGAACUUCCCAUAAUACUUACAGGUUCUGAGGACGGUACUGUUCGUAUAUGGCAUGCCACCACUUACAGACUUGAGAACACUUUAAAUUAUGGUCUUGAAAGAGUUUGGGCAGUUGGAUGCAUCAAAGGCUCACGCCGGGUCGUAAUCGGUUAUGAUGAAGGAACAAUCAUGGUUAAAAUUGGUCGAGAAGAACCAGUUGCCAGUAUGGACAACAGUGGAAAAAUCAUAUGGUCGAAGCAUAAUGAGAUACAGACAGUUAAUAUUAAAAGUGUGGGAGCAGAUUAUGAGGUUACUGAUGGAGAAAGAUUGCCUCUGGCUGUGAAAGAGCUAGGAACCUGUGAUCUUUAUCCACAGAGCUUGAAGCAUAAUCCAAAUGGGAGAUUUGUUGUUGUUUGUGGAGAUGGAGAGUACAUCAUAUAUACGGCUUUGGCAUGGAGAAAUAGGUCAUUUGGUUCGGCACUAGAAUUUGUCUGGUCUGUGGAUGGUGAAUAUGCUGUUCGAGAAAGUCCAUCCAAGAUUAAAAUUUUUAGCAAAAAUUUCCAGGAAAGGAAGACUAUUAGGCCAACAUUUUCUGCUGAGCGCAUAUAUGGAGGAAAUCUUUUAGCAAUGUGCUCAAAUGAUUUUAUUUGUUUUUAUGAUUGGGCUGAAUGCAGGAUGAUUAGACGAAUUGAUGUCAAAGUCAAAAAUCUCUACUGGGCUGACAGUGGUGAUUUACUGGCGAUAUCUAGUGAUUCAUCAUUUUAUAUACUAAAGUAUAGUCGUGAUGUAGUUUCUUCAUAUUUAGAUAGUGGAAGAUCAGUUGAUGAAGAGGGUAUUGAGGAUGCUUUUGAGCUUCUAUAUGAAAUAAAUGAAAGAGUCAGGACAGGUAUCUGGGUUGGAGAUUGCUUCAUAUACAGUAACUCUGCUUGGCGUCUGAAUUUUUGUGUUGGUGGUGAGGUGACAACAAUGUUCCAUUUAGAUCGGCCAAUGUACUUGCUGGGGUACUUGGCUAAUCAAAGUAGGGUGUAUCUGAUUGACAAAGAGUUCAACAUUAUAGGAUACACUUUACUUCUUAGCUUAAUUGAGUAUAAAACACUGGUGAUGCGUGGUGAUCUGGAACAAGCCAAUACGAUAUUACCUUCAAUUCCUAAGGAGCAGCAUAAUAGUGUGGCUCGUUUCUUGGAAUCACGUGGACUGAUAGAGGAUGCGUUGGAAGUAGCUACUGACCCAGACUAUAAAUUUGACCUAGCAAUACAAUUGGGUAAACUUGACAUUGCAAGGGAAAUUGCUAUAGUUGUGCAAAGUGAAUCUAAGUGGAAACAAUUGGGAGAAUUGGCAAUGUCUACUGGAAUGUUAGAGAUGGCGGAGGACUGUCUUAAGAAUGCAGUGGACUUGAGUGGAUUGUUACUACUGUAUAGCUCCUUAGGUGAUGCAGAAGGGAUCACUAAACUUGCAACUCUUGCUAAAGAACAAGGAAAAAACAAUGUUGCAUUUCUUUGUCUGUUCAUGUUGGGUAAAUUGGAAGACUGCUUGCAACUACUUAUUGACAGCAAACGAAUACCUGAAGCUGCUUUGAUGGCUCGGUCUUAUCUUCCAAGCAAAGUUUCAGAGAUAGUAGCAAUUUGGAGAAAAGAUCUUAAUAAAGUGAAUCAGAAAGCUGCGGAAUCUUUGGCUGAUCCUGAGGAGUACCCCAAUUUGUUUGAAGAUUGGCAAAUUGCUGUUGAAGUUGAACCUAGAGUGGCAACAUCGAGGGGUGUUUACUCUCCAGCUGGUGAAUAUGUAAAUCAUGUUAGAUCACAUGUUAACCUGGUGGAGGCUUUCAAAAAUAUGCAAGUGGAGGAAGAGGUACCGCAUGAAAAUGGAUUCUCCGAUCACGAGGUUGAAGAACAAAAUGGAGAAGAUGAACAAGGAGAGUUGUCCGAGUCACAGUAUGAGGUACAUGAGGAGGAUGCAGGAGUUGAUGGAGAUUCAGUUGAUGGUGCGGUUCUUGUUAACGGAAAUGAGGCCGAAGAACAGUGGGGUAAUAAUAAUGAAGGAAAAUUGUCAGCCUAAAGGCAAUUGGUUGGGCCAGUGUGAAAAUCCUAAUUUUGUCACUGUUCUUACUCCAAGAGACUAGAUCCAGAAAUGAUGGACCUAGAUAUACAUAUCCCAUAUAAGGUUUCUGUUAUGGUUUGUCCAUCAUGGAGGGAGGAUUACAGAAGCUGUUGUCAUUAUUAUACUACUAGAUAUAAUAUCAUUUGUAGAGACCUUGAAUUUUGUCUUUAUAGCAUCAACUCAAUUUACAUGUUAUUUGUUGUUCUUCUAGUCAUUAUAUUCUUUGAAACAAACCCAUAUUCUGAAACUCUUUACAUUUGAUUCACAAUUGAUGUUAUAAUAUGUUUGGUGAUUUC